GGCAAGCUGCUCGGAUCCCAGCCCACGGUGUGGAAGCUUUGUUCUUUCGCUCUUUGCAAUAAAUCCUGCUGCUGCUCACUCUUUGGGUCAACACUACCUUUCUGAGCUGUGACGCUCACUGCGAAGGUCUGCAGCUUCACCCCUGAAGCCAGCAAGACCACGAACCCACCGGGAGGAACUAACAACUCCAGACGCGCCGCCUUAAGAGCUGUAACACUCACCGCGAAGGUCCGCAGCUUUACUCCUGAGCCAGCGAGACCACGAACCCACCAGAAGGAAGAAACUCAGAACACAUGCGAACAUCAGAAGGAACAAACUCCAGAGGCGCCACCUUAAGAGCUAUAACACUCACCGCGAGGGUCCGCGGCUUCGUUUUUGAAGUGAGACCAAGAACCCACCAAUUCCGGACAUGCGUGGACUCACUGAGAAGCAGCAAGUUGGCGUUGACUUAGCCCGCUCAGUGUGCAGAGUGGGUUGAAGAAAAGAAUAGACCACAUCAGAGGAGUAAAGGGGUGGGGGCAAAAGCCAGAGAAGGUGGGACCUUGGAAUCACUGGAAUGACUUUGCUUCCACUGGCCAGGUGGAGAUGUGUGCCUGGGUCGGUAUAAACCUCUCUCUGUGUUUCAAGAACACACCUUUGGGAAGGUGACAGUGUGGUGGUGGGACAGCAAACUGCCAGUCUAGAAAGCUACUCCAGGCCUCAGUUUCUCAUCUGUGGAAUUAAGACAUUGGCCUGUAGAUCCAUGGGAUCCAUCAGGGAUCACCCCAGCUCUAAGCAUCUAUGAUACCGUGGGAAUGGAGAUGAAGAUAUUUCAUUUAACAUCUGGUCAAGAGUCCAAGUAAACAGUCUAGUUUUAUGAACAAUCCUAUGAAAC
rnacentral:lncRNA from 1 species